UACGUGAGGGGCGAACGUUGUUCGGUGUCACUGGGCUUAAAGGGUGCGUAGGCGGUCUGGAAAGUUGGGUGUGAAAUCCCUCGGCCUAACCGAGGAACUGCGCUUGAAACUACCAGACUCGAGGGAGAUAGAGGAAAGCGGAACUGAUGGUGGAGCGGUGAAAUGCGUUGAUAUCAUCAGGAACACCGGUGGCGAAGGCGGCUUUCUGGGUCUUACCUGACGCUGAGGAACGAAAGCCAGGGGAGCGAACGGG
rnacentral:rRNA from 1 species